UUUUAUUAAUGGCAUUGGGUUGGUCUGCCUCUCCAUGGAGAGGUUCAGAGCCUUACAAUAUAUUCUCUCUUCUUUUCGGAAGAGAUGUGUAGAAGAAGAAGAAGCAUCCCCCUUUAAGGUUCUUUCUCUUUGUAUUUAUAGCUAGGAGGUCUGCCAGCUGGCGCCAAAGGAUUGAGACCACAUAGAGGGACGCCCUCGUAAAAACGGCCAGGCCGCUUGGUUGCACAUUUGGAUAGCUGCCAGAUAAUCUUGCUAAUAUUUGGUCAUACCAUUCAUAAACUACAAUUGAAUUCUAAUAAAUGCGUUGAUUUCCGUUAUCAUUGUGAGGUCAAGUUUUGAUCCAUACAGUUUGUAUUUUAUCAGUGAUGAUUUAGUUGUAUUGCAUUAAUGAUAAAUGACGUUGAUGAUUUGGUUGUAUUGCAUUAACGACUAAACUAUUGCCUAAAAUAAAAAUAAAAAGUUAUUUUUAUUACAAAGAAAUCUUAGAUAUC
rnacentral:lncRNA from 1 species